rnacentral:rRNA from 1 species
AACCUCCCAUCCCGUGCGAACUGUUACCCGGUUGCUUCGGCGUUUAGGCUCGUCCACGCCAGUAGCUCAUCACAAAUCUUUGUUGCAAUCGUGACGUCCGAGUACACAAUAUAGAAGAAUAAGAAAACUUUCAACAACGGAUCUCUUGGUUCUGGCAUCGAUGAAGAACGCAGCGAAAUGCGAUAAGUAAUGUGAAUUGCAGAAUUCAGUGAAUCAUCGAAUCUUUGAACGCACAUUGCACCUUCUGGCAUUCCGGGAGGUAUGCCUGUCCGAGCGUCAUUUCACCCCUCAAGCUCCGGCUCGGUGUUGGGCCACAUCCUCCCAACGGAUGAGCCUCAAAAUCAGUGGCGGCGUGGCAUGACCCCGAGCGUAGUGACACUAUUUUUGCUCCGUGGGUUUCGUGCGACGGUGGCCAGAACUGGAUGUCACAGUCCAACUUCUCAAAGGUUGACCUCGGAUCA